UAAAAAAUUAUCAACAAAGGUUAAUUUAGAGAAUGAAAUAAUCAACCCAAAUCAUUAAUCACGUAGAGAUUCUCCAUAUCCCGAUAAUUGCGUCGUUUCAUCGCUCCCUCCACUAUUCACGUUUCAUCUCUCUUCUUUCCCCCCAUUCCAAAUUCUCGCCUUCCCAAUUUCUCUCUCAUUAGUCGAAUCCUCGCCUUCUUAUCUCUCCUUCUCGGCUGCAGAGGAGUAAUCAAAUCCUCGUCGGUGUUGAAGUGAUUCAUCUGCGGCGGCCUCAUGAGUUAUGUCCGACAACGAAGGCAAGCUUCGGCGGAGUCGUCUGAAGGGAUUUUCUCGGUUUUUAUCUCAACUCAAAGGGACUCCACAACCUGGUUGAAGUAAUAAUCAAGGACAUGCUCAUUGCUCUUGAUGAGACUUCCAAAUCACCUUCCCCAGCAAUGUAAGGCUGCACCAGAUGAAAAAGGAAGCCUCGAAACAUCAGCUCCCACAAGGGCAAAUAUCUCCAAUCAAAAUUUGGUCGAAUUAUUUAGUUUAAGGGAUACAAUUUCUAAACUGAGCUGAACCAAAAUGUUUCAAGUAUUCAUGUUCUAGUCAGGAGAGAAAUGCUCAUGAGCUUUGUUGGAUAGUUGGCACUAGAAUUUCUCUUUGUUUUUGAUUGAGAUAAUGGUUGUAUAGUCUCUGUUUUAGGAGCUGAUAAGCUUAAGAUAGUUUCACCA